AAAUUGAAGAGUUUGAUCAUGGCUCAGAUUGAACGCUGGCGGCAGGCCUAACACAUGCAAGUCGAACGGUAACAGGAAGCAGCUUGCUGCUUCGCUGACGAGUGGCGGACGGGUGAGUAAUGUCUGGGAAACUGCCUGAUGGAGAGGGAUAACUACUGGAAACGGUGGCUAAUACCGCAUAACGUCGCAA
rnacentral:rRNA from 1 species